CAAUAGCGUAUAUUAAAGUUGUUGCAGUUAGAACGCUCGUAGUCGGAUUUCGGGGCGGGCCGACCGGUCUGCCGAUGGGUACGCACUGGUCGGCGCGUCCUUCCUUCCGGAGACCGUGCCUACUCUUAACUGAGCGGGGGCGGGAGACGGAUCGUUUACUUUGAAAAAAUCAGAGUGUUUCAAGCAGGCAGCUCGCUCUUGCAUGGAUUAGCAUGGGAUAAUGAAAUAGGACUUUGGUGCUAUUUUGUUGGUUUCGAACACCGAAGUAAUGAUUAAAAGGGACAGUCAGGGGCACUCGUAUUCCGCCGAGAGAGGUGAAAUUCUCAGACCAGCGGAAGACGAACUACUGCGAAAGCAUUUGCCAGGGAUGUUUNCACUGA
rnacentral:rRNA from 1 species